rnacentral:rRNA from 1 species
GACGAACGCUGGCGGCGUGCUUAACACAUGCAAGUCGAACGUGAUUUUUAUGGAAAGCCCUUCGGGGACGGAAGUAAAAUGAAAGUGGCGAACGGGUGAGUAACACGUGAGCAACCUACCUUACACAGGGGGAUAGCCGUUGGAAACGACGAUUAAUACCGCAUGAGACCACAAAGCCACAUGGCUUAGGGGUAAAAGAUUUAUCGGUGUAAGAUGGGCUCGCGUCUGAUUAGCUAGUUGGAAGGGUAAAGGCCUACCAAGGCGACGAUCAGUAGCCGGUCUGAGAGGAUGAACGGCCACAUUGGAACUGAGACACGGUCCAAACUCCUACGGGAGGCAGCAGUGGGGAAUAUUGCACAAUGGGGGGAACCCUGAUGCAGCGACGCCGCGUGAGCGAAGAAGGUUUUCGAAUCGUAAAGCUCUGUCCUAUGAGAAGAUAAUGACGGUAUCAUAGGAGGAAGCUCCGGCUAAAUACGUGCCAGCAGCCGCGGUAAUACGUAUGGGGCGAGCGUUGUCCGGAAUUAUUGGGCGUAAAGGGUACGUAGGCGGCCUUUUAAGUCAGGUGUGAAAGCGUGAGGCUUAACCUCAUUAAGCACUUGAAACUGGAAGGCUUGAGUGAAGGAGAGGAAAGUGGAAUUCCUAGUGUAGCGGUGAAAUGCGUAGAUAUUGGGAGGAAUACCGGUGGCGAAGGCGACUUUCUGGACUUUUACUGACGCUCAGGUACGAAAGCGUGGGGAGCAAACAGG